UGAACAUUUCAUGAGUGGUAUCUGUCUAGUGCCCUUUUUAUGUUGUACUACUAGUGAUCUUGCACAAAAAGCAGUGCAAUGUUAAAAGGGCAUUGGCCAGUGAUACUGUUCACCUUCCUGCCU
rnacentral:precursor_RNA from 13 species